GGUCCUAUGGCCCAAUGGAUAAGGCGUCUGACUACGAAUCAGGAGAUUCCAGGUUCGAGUCCUGGCAGGAUCG
rfam:Ciona savignyi cont_17355, whole genome shotgun sequence.